rnacentral:rRNA from 1 species
AGAGUUUGAUCAUGGCUCAGAUUGAACGCUGGCGGCGUGCCUAACACAUGCAAGUCGAUCGGUAACAGGUGUAGCAAUACAUGCUGACGAGAGGCGGACGGGUGAGUAACGCUUGGGAAUCUGCCUAUUAGUGGGGGACAACCCGGGGAAACUCGGGCUAAUACCGCAUACGCUCUACGGAGGAAAGCCGGGGACCGCAAGGCCUGGCGCUAAUAGAUGAGCCCAAGUCGGAUUAGCUAGUUGGUAGGGUAAAUGGCCUACCAAGGCGACGAUCCGUAGCUGGUCUGAGAGGACGACCAGCCACACUGGGACUGAGACACGGCCCAGACUCCUACGGGAGGCAGCAGUGGGGAAUAUUGGACAAUGGGGAAACCCUGAUCCAGCGACGCCGCGUGGGUGAAGAAGGCCUGCGGGUUGUAAAGCCCUUUCGGUGGGGAAGAAAAGCCUCGACCUAACACGUCGGGGUAUUGACGUAACCCACAAAAGAAGCACCGGCUAACUCUGUG